rnacentral:lncRNA from 1 species
CGCAGUGCGACUAAGAAUUCCUCCGCAUGUGAACUCUGGCGCUGGUGUCUAUGGGAGCUCCAACGCAUGCCGCUUCAGCCAGCAUGGGAAUGAUGGGCAGUACAUGGAUUUGUCUAAACUUCGUUCUUCCGGCUCCGUUUGGCUUCGCGUCGCCU